rnacentral:rRNA from 1 species
UACGUAGGGUGCAAGCGUUGUCCGGAAUUAUUGGGCGUAAAGAGCUCGUAGGCGGUCUGUCGACGUCGGCUGUGAAAUCCCGAGGCUCAACCUCGGGUCUGCAGUCGAUACGGGCAAACUAGAGUAUUGCAGGGGAGACUGGAAUUCCUGGUGUAGCGGUGAAAUGCGCAGAUAUCAGGAGGAACACCGGUGGCGAAGGCGGGUCUCUGGGCAAUAACUGACGCUGAGGAGCGAAAGCGUGGGGAGCGAACAGG